rnacentral:rRNA from 1 species
GAUGAACGCUAGCGGCAGGCCUAACACAUGCAAGUCGAGGGGCAGCACAGAAACAGCAAUGUUUUGGUGGCGACCGGCGGACGGGUGCGUAACGCGUAUGCAACCUACCUUUAACAGGGGGAUAACGGAGAGAAAUUUCCACUAAUACCCCAUAACAUCGAUCAAGGCAUCUUCAUUGGUUGAAAACUCCGGUGGUUAAAGAUGGGCAUGCGUUGUAUUAGGUAGUUGGUGAGGUAAUGGCCCACCAAGCCUACGAUACAUAGGGGGACUGAGAGGUUAGCCCCCCACACUGGUACUGAGACACGGACCAGACUCCUACGGGAGGCAGCAGUGGGGAAUAUUGGUCAAUGGGGGCAACCCUGAACCAGCCAUGCCGCGUGCAGGAAGACGGCUCUAUGAGUUGUAAACUGCUUUUAAACAGGGAUAAAGCACAGCAUGCAUACUGUGUUGAAGGUACUGUAAGAAUAAGGAUCGGCUAACUCCGUGCCAGCCGCCGCUGUAA